CCUACGAGAGGCUGCAGUGAGGAAUAUUGGUCAAUGGACGCAAGUCUGAACCAGCCAUGCCGCGUGCAGGAAGACGGCUCUAUGAGUUGUAAACUGCUUUUGUACGAGGGUAAACGCAGAUACGCGUAUCUGUCUGAAAGUAUCGUACGAAUAAGGAUCGGCUAACUCCGUGCCAGCAGCCGCGGUAAUACGGAGGAUUCAAGCGUUAUCCGGAUUUAUUGGGUUUAAAGGGUGCGUAGGCGGUCGGAUAAGUUAGAGGUGAAAUCCCGAGGCUCAACUUCGGAAUUGACUCUGAUACUGUUCGGCUAGCGAGUAGUUGCGGUAGGCGGAAUGUAUGGUGUAGCGGUGAAAUGCUUAGAGAUCAUACAGAACACCGAUUGCGAAGGCAGCUUACCAAGCUACGUCUGACGUUGAGGCACGAAAGCGUGGGGAGCAAACAGGAUUAGAUACCCGUGUAGUC
rnacentral:rRNA from 1 species